rnacentral:rRNA from 1 species
UCCUAACGGCGAGUGAAGCGGCAACAGCUCAAAUUUGAAAUCUGGCCCCCGGGUCCGAGUUGUAAUUUGUAGAGGAUGCUUUUGGCGAGGUGCCUUCCGAGUUCCCUGGAACGGGACGCCAUAGAGGGUGAGAGCCCCGUCUGGUCGGACACCGAGCCUCUGUAAAGCUCCUUCGACGAGUCGAGUAGUUUGGGAAUGCUGCUCAAAAUGGGAGGUAUAUGUCUUCUAAAGCUAAAUAUUGGCCAGAGACCGAUAGCGCACAAGUAGAGUGAUCGAAAGAUGAAAAGCACUUUGAAAAGAGGGUUAAAAAGUACGUGAAAUUGUUGAAAGGGAAGCGCCUAUGACCAGACUUGGGCCCGGUGAAUCACCCAGCGUUCUCGCUGGUGCACUUCGCCGGGCACAGGCCAGCAUCAGUUUGGCGCGGGGGAGAAAGGCUUCGGGAAUGUGGCUCCCCCGGGAGUGUUAUAGCCCGUUGCGCAAUACCCUGCGCUGGACUGAGGUACGCGCAUUCGCAAGGAUGCUGGCGUAAUGGUCAUCAGCGACCCGUCUUGAAACACGGACCAAGGAGUCGUCUUCGUAUGCGAGUGUUCGGGUGUCAAACCCCUACGCGUAAUGAAAGUGAACGCAGGUGAGAGCUUCGGCGCAUCAUCGACCGAUCCUGAUGUUCUCGGAUGGAUUUGAGUAAGAGCAUACGGGGCCGGACCCGAAAGAAGGUGAACUAUGCCUGUAUAGGGUGAAGCCAGAGGAAACUCUGGUGGAGGCUCGCAGCGGUUCUGACGUGCGAAUCGAUCGUCAAAUAUGGGCAUGGGGGCGAAAGACUAAUCGAACCUUCUAGUAGCUGGUUUCCGCCGAAGUUUCCCUCAGGAUAGCAGUGUUGAACUCAGUUUUAUGAGGUAAAGCGAAUGAUUAGGGACUCGGGGGCGCUAUAUUGCCUUCAUCCAUUCUCAAACUUUAAAUAUGUAAGAAGCCCUUGUUACUUGAUUGAACGUGGGCAUUCGAAUGUAUCAACACUAGUGGGCCAUUUUUGGUAAGCAGAACUGGCGAUGCGGGAUGAACCGAACGCGAGGUUAAGGUGCCGGAGUGGACGCUCAUCAGACACCACAAAAGGUGUUAGUACAUCUUGACAGCAGGACGGUGGCCAUGGAAGUCGGAAUCCGCUAAGGACUGUGUAACAACUCACCUGCCGAAUGUACUAGCCCUGAAAAUGGAUGGCGCUCAAGCGUCCCACCCAUACCUCGCCCUCAGGGUAGAAACGAAGCCCUGAGGAGUAGGCGGACC